rnacentral:tRNA from 1 species
AAAUAAGAAGCAAUCCUAUAUGCAUUUAAUUUCGACUUAAAAGAAAGAGUAAAAACUCCUUAUUUA